rnacentral:siRNA from 1 species
CUCCUUUGGUGGAUACCGAGGCCU